rnacentral:rRNA from 1 species
CGAAAGGGGCUUCGGCCCUGAGUAGAGUGGCGAACGGGUCGAGUAACACGUGGGUGAUCCACCUUUGAGUGGUGGAUAACGUUCCGAAAGGAGCGCUAAUACCGCAUGACGUUCUGGGUUUGAAGACCUGGAAACCAAAGUCGGGGACCGCAAGACCUGACGCUUGGAGAGGAGCCCGCGCCUGAUUAGCUAGUUGGUGAGGUAAUGGCUCACCAAGGCGACGAUCAGUGGCCGGCCUGAGAGGGCGGACGGCCACACUGGGACUGAGACACGGCCCAGACUCCUACGGGAGGCAGCAGUGGGGAAUUGUUCGCAAUGGGCGCAAGCCUGACGACGCAACGCCGCGUGGAGGAUGAAGGUCUUCGGAUUGUAAACUCCUGUUGACCGGGAAGGAUGGACUCCGACUUAAUACUUCGGGGUAAUGACGGUACCGGUUGAGGAAGCCACGGCUAACUCUGUGCCAGCAGC